AGGGCACCACCAGGAGUGGAGCCUGCGGCUUAAUUUGACUCAACACGGGGAAACUCACCCGGCCCGGACACUGGAAGGAUUGACAGAUUGAGAGCUCUUUCUUGAUUCAGUGGGUGGUGGUGCAUGGCCGUUCUUAGUUGGUGGAGUGAUUUGUCUGGUUAAUUCCGAUAACGAACGAGACUCUAGCCUACUAAAUAGACCUCGGCAUUCUUUGUACUGUCGAGGCGCUUCUUAGAGGGACAGGCGGCGUUUCAGCCGCAUGAGAAAGAGCAAUAACAGGUCUGUGAUGCCCUUAGAUGUCCGGGGCCGCACGCGCGCUACACUGAAGAGAUCAGCGUGCAUGUGCUUCCUACUCCGAAAGGAGCGGGAAACCCAGUGAACCUUCUUCGUGAUUGAGAUAGAAGAUUGUAAUUAUUCUUCUUGAACGAGGAAUUCCCAGUAAAUGCGAGUCAUAAGCUCGCGUUGAUUACGUCCCUGCCCUUUGUACACACCGCCCGUCGCUACUACCGAUUGAACGAU
rnacentral:rRNA from 1 species